rnacentral:rRNA from 1 species
GAUGAACGCUGGCGGUAUGCCUAACACAUGCAAGUCGUACGAGAGUUUUUAACUCUAGUGGCGGACGGGUGAGUAACACGUGAGAAUUUGCCUUUAGGAGGGGGAUAACAAUUGGAAACGAAUGCUAAUACCCCAUAUGCUUUUGAGUGAAACGGAUUUAUCCGCCUAGAGAGAAGCUCGCGGCUGAUUAGCUUGUUGGUAAGGUAAGAGCUUACCAAGGCGACGAUCAGUAUCUGGUUUGAGAGGACGAUCAGACACACUGGAACUGAGACACGGUCCAGACUCCUACGGGAGGCAGCAGUGGGAAUUUUCCGCAAUGGGCGAAAGCCUGACGGAGCAAUCUCGCGUGGGGGAUGACGGCCUAUGGGUUGUAAACCUCUUUUUUCAGGGAGGAACGAAAAUGACGUGUACCUGAAGAAUAAGCAUCGGCUAACUCCGUG